GACGUAGGAGGCGAGCGUGUCCGGAUUCAUUGGGCGUAAAGAGCACGCAGGCGGUUUGGCAAGUCGGAUGUGAAAACCCGAAGCUCAACUUCGGGCCUGCAUCCGAAACUGCCCGACGUAGAGGUAGGUAGGGGAGAUCGGAAUUCCUGGUGUAGCGGUGAAAUGCGCAGAUAUCAGGAGGAACACCAAUGGCGAAGGCAGCUCGCUGGGACGGUACUGACGCUGGAGACGCGAAAGCGUGGGGAGCAAACAGG
rnacentral:rRNA from 1 species